GCUGUGGCUCAGUGGUACAUAAUCUGCCUGGCAUGCAUAUGAUCCCAAGUUCAAUCCCUGGCAUCUCCA
rnacentral:tRNA from 1 species